GUAAGGGUGUACAAAUUUAUCACAAGCGUUUGCGUUUAAGAGGUGUUGGCAUUUGAAAUAAUAACAUUUCAAUUCUAACGAGGCUACUUGACCAAAAAAUAGUGUUGAAAAAAUUAAAAACCUAUUAAGACAAAUUUUUGCAGCUUUACUUUAUUGUAAACAUUUCAAGAUAAACAAGGUUUGACAAGACUUUUGGAAAGUCUUGUCAACUCCCGUCGAUCAGCUAAUAGUCCUUGUACUCUAGUCCUUGUUGAACAAGCUUGCUUGCCAGGCAUAUUACUCUGCUAUUGUAUGAAAUUACAGCAAGAAAAAAAAUCAAGACUAUGAAAGGUUUCAAACGAAUCAUUUUUUAGUAAUGUCUUCGCAAAAAUUGUGACUACAACCUGAUUGGUAUCUUCAGCUAAUGUCUAUGUUUUGAUCAAUUGGCAAACGACUCGCUUAAAAGCAGAUUAGUAUUUAGAUAAUCUGUGAAAUUAAAUAGCUCUAUUUUUACAAGAAUAUACUAUUUUAUUUGUUAAUAGCGGCAUUAAAAAAAAAACUUAUCAUAGACUGAAUUCUAUAGCAACAAAAUCAAAAUAAAAAUUAGGUUUGCGAUUUUCAAUGAUAACCGAUAAAGUUAAUAUCAAUGAAACAAUAUUUGCUUUUGCUUGUUUAAUUCAAAAUUCAUAUUUUUGAUUUAAAAUGAUCGAAAUUGCUAAUCAAGAUUAACACAAAGAAUCAGCGAGCUUUAUAAAAAACAAAGAUCAACAAAACCUCCUUGAUCUUACCAGAGUAAGCUAUUUUUUAAAAUUUAAAGAACGGAGCCACUUUUAAGCACAUUAAAAACAACCGUCUUAAAACUUCUAAACAACCUUUUUUUAUAUGUUGUGUUUGUGACAAAUUACCAAUAUUUUUAUUAGUAGUAGAAGUUA